UUGAAUCCAAAGGAUGUUGCUGGUGCUUGCAAAAGUACAUGUGCACUCCGACCUUCAUAAUCCACCUGUGCACUCAUUGUAGGCUUUGGAUUGACUUCCGAAGUCUAUGUUCUUUUAACAAACUCCUAUGUGAUCUUUGUGAUAAUGUUAUAAUAUAUAAUA
rnacentral:misc_RNA from 1 species